AAGUAGCCGGGACUACAGGCUCGCGCCACGCCCGGCUAAGUGUGGUCAGGAUAGCUGGAAUUCUAGCAUCCAGUUUUGAAUGCCAGGUGACCUCAAAGAUGGAAGCCAUGAACUAGGAGAAUGUCCCCGUACAGAGUUCCUCCUCUCCAGAAUAUGCAGAAUGAAAGCAGAGCUCCUCCUCUCCAGAAUGGAAGCAGAGAGUAGCCCUCGCCAGACCCCAAUUCUGCCAGCACCUUAAUCUUGGACUUCCCAGCCUCCAGAACUGUGAGCAGUAAAUCUUCACUGUUUGUAACUUACCCAGUAGGUGUUAUUUUUUAUACCAGCACAAACAGGCUGAGACUGAUAUUGGCACUGAGAAGUGGGGGUAUUGCCACCAGCACACAACACCAGCCUGGGGCAGCCCCAGGAACAACAGAAUCCCGUAAGAGCAUGGACUGUCCUCAGCAAAGCCACCCAACCACAGCCAUGUGGGACAUGAGUCAAAGAAGGUGAUAUUCGAGCUUUAAGAUUUAAUGUUGUUUGCCCUUGUUGGGUUGUGGACUUAACUGGGGACGGUUAUCCCUUUCUUCUUGCCUGUUUUUCCCUUUUGGAAUGGGAAUGUCUAUCCUAUGCUUGUCUCAACAUUGUAUUUUGGAAGUAAAAAUACAAUGUUUGGGAAAACUUGUUUGAUUUCACAGGCUUACAGCUAGAGGGGAAUUUGCAUCAAGAUAAAUGGUACUAACAGAGAACAGCUGGGCUCCUGGCUAAACCCCACCCUUAAGCUUGGAACUGUGGCCCUAGAAACAGCUGGCCCGGUUUUUCCACCCAAAUGCUUUUUUGGCCUGCCACGCUCCUAUUCUGUGCCCAUAAAGACUUCAGCGGGCAGAGCAACACAAGCGGCUGAGCAUCGGGAAUACAAGCUGCUGAGCGUUGGGGAUAUGAGCAACUGUCAGGGACUACAGAUAAACACGGCUAACUUCAGAUGGUGCAGCUUCAGAGGGGAGCCUGGCUAGAGACGGCUGGGCUUCAGGAAAAGAUCUCCUCCUCCUGCACCAUCCCCUUUCCAACUCCCCUUCCACCAAGAGCCACUUCCAUUGUUCAAUAAAGUCUUCCACAUUCAUC